CACAAAUUCCGUUCUCUUUUUCACACUUAAAAACAGCUUUGAAAUUUGCUUGGAAAACAGAAAUGGCGAAUUCACCGUGUGAGUUCGAUGCUCAAAUUGUUAAUAAUCCAUCAUCAGAAGCUGAAUCUCAGCUUUCUUCUCUCGUUUACGAUAUGUCACAACAGGUCCAGACGGCAAUGACAAACAUGCUUAAGAUGAUAUGUGAAAUUGAUCAGAACUCUGCUGUAAUUAUGGAAGAGAUAGAGAGGAGCAAAAACUCUGCGCUUGAGAAGAAGAAAGCUUUGGAGGAAGAGAAGGAACGUUUUCAGAAAGCUGCUUACGCUGUUUUAAAUAUGCUUACCAGUAGGGAUUGAAAGCUGUAAGUUGAUUAAUUUGAGUUUCUCAGGUAAAAAUUAAAUUAAAAAAAAAUGCAGUUCAUUUACAAAAUUGUUUACAUAAUGGCCACAUGUAUGCAUACAAAGAUGCGUAUACUGAAAAUAUACACUUGUGUUUAUACUUUUUUUUUUUAUCCUAAUUAUAUGAAAAUUUGAACUUUCCCUGAUGCAUUCAGAAUCUCCAUUGAAGUACUAGUAGGUCUCAAUGGACUGAUGAUUGGCAGAACUCUCUCAUAGUUUCAAAAGAUAUAUAAAUGAUCAUUUUCUCUCAAAGCAUUCAAGUCUUCCACCUGUGAUCCAUCAUCCAUGAGAAUUGUGCUCCCUCUUCUUCCGAAUUUUUUCUCUGCAUCAAACUUGAAAUUAGUUUUGCCGUUGACAACAAUUUCAUGCAAGUGUUUGCUAAGGAUAUCUUACAGUGGAUGCUGUUGAUGGUAUUGCUUUCUGGAGCAUGUUCAUGGGUAAUUCAAAACCAUCCCAUUAACACUUAAUUCCACUAUCAUUUUGAUGAUACAGAUGGUGACCAUAGUUACAUGCUAUGCCAAUUUAAAUCAAAUUAGGCUUUUUAUCUUCUUUUUAUUGGCUUUUAUACAUGCACGAUGACUUUAAAUCUACCCAAUUCUCUUUUAGCUACUUUA